UACAGAGGGGGCAAGCGUUGUUCGGAAUUACUGGGCGUAAAGGGCGCGUAGGCGGCCUUCUAAGUCGAACGUGAAAUCCCUGGGCUCAACCCAGGAACUGCGUCCGAUACUGGAAGGCUUGAAUCCGGGAGAGGGAUGCGGAAUUCCAGGUGUAGCGGUGAAAUGCGUAGAUAUCAGGAGGAACACCAAUUGCGAAGGCAGCUCGCUGGGACGUUACUGACGCUGAGACGCGAAAGCGUGGGGAGCAAACAGG
rnacentral:rRNA from 1 species